rnacentral:rRNA from 1 species
AGUGAACGCUGGCGGUAGGCCUAACACAUGCAAGUCGAACGGCAGCACAGUAAGAGCUUGCUCUUACGGGUGGCGAGUGGCGGACGGGUGAGGAAUACAUCGGAAUCUACUUUUUCGUGGGGGAUAACGUAGGGAAACUUACGCUAAUACCGCAUACGACCUACGGGUGAAAGCAGGGGAUCUUCGGACCUUGCGCGAUUGAAUGAGCCGAUGUCGGAUUAGCUAGUUUGGAGGGUAAAGGCCCACCAAGGCGACGAUGCGUAGCUGAUCUGAGAGGAUGAUCGGCCACACUGGAACUGAGACACGGUCCAGACUCCUACGGGAGGCAGCAGGUGGGAAUUUUUCGCAAUGGGGGAAAGCCUGACCCAGCCACGCCGGGUGGGUGAAAAAGGUCUUCGGAGUGUAAAACCCUUUUUUUGGGGAAAAAAAAGUGUGGAAUUAAACCCCCGCUGCUUGACGGUAACCAAAAAAAAAGCCACGGCUAACUACGUG